AUUGAACGCUGGCGGCAGGCUUAACACAUGCAAGUCGAGCGGAGAUGAGGUGCUUGCACCUUAUCUUAGCGGCGGACGGGUGAGUAAUGCUUAGGAAUCUGCCUAUUAGUGGGGGACAACAUUCCGAAAGGAAUGCUAAUACCGCAUACGUCCUACGGGAGAAAGCAGGGGAUCUUCGGACCUUGCGCUAAUAGAUGAGCCUAAGUCGGAUUAGCUAGUUGGUGGGGUAAAGGCCUACCAAGGCGACGAUCUGUAGCGGGGCUGAGAGGAUGAUCCGCCAAACUGGGACUGAGACACGGCCCAGACUCCUACGGGAGGCAGCAGUGGGGAAUAUUGGACAAUGGGGGGAACCCUGAUCCAGCCAUGCCGCGUGUGUGAAGAAGGCCUUAUGGUUGUAAAGCACUUUAAGCGAGGAGGAGGCUACUGAGACUAAUACUCUUGGAUAGUGGACGUUACUCGCAGAAUAAGCACCGGCUAACUCUGUGCCAGCCGCCGCGGUAAUAC
rnacentral:rRNA from 1 species